CGGACGGGUGAGUAACGCGUGGGUAACCUGCCUUGCACUGGGGGAUAACACUUAGAAAUAGGUGCUAAUACCGCAUAAGCGCACGGCUUCGCAUGAAGUGGUGUGAAAAACUCCGGUGGUAUACGAUGGUUCCGCGUCUGAUUAGCUUGUUGGUGGGGUAAUGGCUCACCAAGGCGACGAUCAGUAGCCGGCCUGAGAGGGUGAACGGCCACAUUGGGACUGAGACACGGCCCAAACUCCUACGGAAGGCAGCAG
rnacentral:rRNA from 1 species